UACGGAGGAUGCGAGCGUUAUCCGGAUUUAUUGGGUUUAAAGGGUGCGUAGGCUGUGAGGUAAGUCAGCGGUGAAAUGCCCCCGCUCAACGGGGUGAAGUGCCAUUGAUACUGCCUUGCUGGAAUGCGGAUGCCGUGGGAGGAAUGUGUGGUGUAGCGGUGAAAUGCAUAGAUAUCACACAGAACACCGAUUGCGAAGGCAUCUCACGAAUCCGCUAUUGACGCUGAUGCACGAAAGCGUGGGUAUCAAACAGG
rnacentral:rRNA from 1 species